rnacentral:tRNA from 13 species
GGCGAGGUAGCUCAGUUGGUUAGAGCACAGGACUCAUAAGCCUGGGGUCGGCGGUUCGAAUCCGCCCCUCGCUACCA